GUCUACGGCCAGACAGCCCUGAGUGCCCCCGAUCCUGUCUGACCUUGGAAGCUAAGCAGGGUAGGGCCCGGUCAGUACUUGGAUGGGAAAAUGAUGUGUAGGAUGAAUUCCAGUAUGGAAUUCUAUGCUUUUGGGGCU
rnacentral:rRNA from 1 species